UUUGGGCCUUACAUUUGUCCAAUUUGGCUAGCCAUCAAUGAUUCAGCUUCUUGCUAACGCUCUAUACCAGUUACAGAAUCCCCAUCUUUAAAGUCAUUCUUAAAUCAUCACCCACUAUCUUUCUUGAAUGCGAUCCUCUUCAUGUGAGUCGGUGGAACUUUAAUUAUAAAAGGAAAAUGGCUAAGGCAGCAAUCUUCCUUUCCGAUCUGACCGGACGAUGCUCCUCCACCCUUCAAGUCCGGUUGCUCCACUUCUGGGAAGCCAAGAACGCCUGACGCGGCGGCGAACUCAUUGAGUCGACAUGUUUCUGCUUGAGAUUUAUAGGAACUUAUGCCCGGAAUAUGGAAGACCUUGAUAGUACACCGAGGCUGAAAGCUAGCUUUAAUUUGUAGAAAGAACGCUGAGGUAGACACAUCUGCCUUCCAUUGCACCAACUACACUCAGUGAGAAUACAUUUCCCCUGCAAAAUUUUCUUUUUCCCUUUGCGAACUAAGCCCUAAAAUAAAAAAAAAUAAAAAAUGCACAAUGGAAUCCAUUGGUUUGAUUCACUUUUGUACAUAAUUUUUCUAUUCUCUGUGGAUUUAAAGGUUCAUUUUUUGGUUUAGCGAGCACGUGAUCGUAUCUUUGUCUACGAAACUGGUGCCACAAAACAUGUUCCCAGAGCUCCAUUUAUUGAUCUCGAGCCCACUGUUAUCAAUGAAGUCCGUAGGAGAACUUACCGUCAGCUUUUCCAUCCUGAGCAGCUAACCUCUGGAAACAACUUGGCGGAAGACAAUUAUACUGAGAAAGCUGGCCAGUCCUCCGGUGUCGACACCAUCUUCACCAACUGAAAACAAUCCGUCGCAAACACUACAUCAGAGAACUGAAGGGUCUUCAUGCAAUCCAUUGCCCAUAUCAAAGCUUCACACUCAGCAUACAGAGGAGAGAGACUUUUACGGAGAUUCAUCGCCCCCAUCAUAACAUCUGCCGAGCCAUUACUUCGACAGAACCAUCCUUGACCCGUGAAUUGAUCUUCUUUUUUCCAAGCUCCAUCUAUAUAACAAAUCCUGGUAUUAUCUAAAGAAGUCCAUUCAGUAUCCUGGUAUACACUCCCAUGAUGGUCAUAUUGGUUCUUCACUGUUACUUGUGCCCCCAUCCAUAUCUUACUUUUCACUUCAGCUAAACGAAGGAUCUCCUGCGGGUUCCCAUUCUUAUUCAAAUAGACUUUAUCAUUCCUGGACUUCUAUAUAUACUAUAAUAUCCAUGGAAAAUAGCUAAACUCAUCCUCUUCCGGCAACCUCCAAAAUAGAUAAUCCAUACUUGUGUAGACCGAGAUAAUGGAUCUCCUUGACGUGGUCCCCGCUUUGGUAUUAUAAGGCCUCGUGGCUGCCCAUUAAGGAGUACCCUAUAUUGAACUGAAGAUAUACACUCUCGCUUUAAUUUAAUCCAAUGAGUAUCAAAUCCCAUUUUGUGAUAAACUUAUUUUGACAAGACUUGUUGGUUCGCAAACCAUGAAAUAUUUCCUGUGCAAUAAAAAUAUUACCUGAGAUUAACCUUCCUGCUAUAAAAGCCGAUUGUGUUUCCGAAAUUAAACGGGGGAGACAAAUUUUCAAUCUUUGACACAAAACUUUCGAGAUAAUCUUAUAGCCAACGUUACAAAGACUUAUCGGCCAUAACUCCAUCAUCCUUGUAGGUCUCUCUACUUUUGGGAUCAUACAAAUAUUAGUUAUGUUUAACCGUGGGUCCAUAUCUCCCGUGACCAAAACAUUAUUCACCAACUCAACUACAUCCCUUUUAAUGAAAUUCCAGGAGUUCUCAAAAAAGGUAAAUUAUUUAAUAAAUCAUUAAAAUUAAAUUGAUUCAUAUAUAUAUAUAUAUAAAAUAUCUGGAAAUUUGACAAACAAAUUAACCAAAAUUAAUAUAAAAUAUGAAGAUACAAUAUUUUUUCUUCCAAGAACACAAAAUAAAAUAUACUCUUCAAAAUAAAAUUUCAAAAAGUGUUUUUAAAAAUAAUUAUAAAUCAGUAUCAAAUGUGUUUUCUUUAAUAAUAUCCAAAUCGAAGAACCAAACAUAAUCUUCAUGAACAAGGAACGCAUAAAAAAUAUAGGAUUUGAAGUGAAUGAACAAUAACAGUGAACGAGACAUAGUACAAAUAAAAAUGUAAAACAUCCACAACGUAAAGUAGACAUACAAAGCCGAAGACAAGAUCCAAUAGGCGAAAAAUGUAUCACACCAAAAAAUCGGAUAGAGUAGAGAAUAAUUGCAAU